rnacentral:rRNA from 1 species
GAGUUUGAUCCUGGCUCAGGACGAACGCUGGCGGCACGCCUAACACAUGCAAGUCGAACGGAGAUAUUUUGGUUUACUGAGAUAUCUUAGUGGCGGACGGGUGAGUAACACGUGAGCAACCUGCCUCUGAGAGAGGGAUAGCUUCUGGAAACGGAUGGUAAUACCUCAUAACAUAACGAAGCCGCAUGACUUUGUCAUCAAAGAUUUAUCACUCAGAGAUGGGCUCGCGUCUGAUUAGAUAGUUGGUGAGGUAACAGCUCACCAAGUCGACGAUCAGUAGCCGGACUGAGAGGUUGAACGGCCACAUUGGGACUGAGACACGGCCCAGACUCCUACGGGAGGCAGCAGUGGGGAAUAUUGCACAAUGGGGGAAACCCUGAUGCAGCGAUGCCGCGUGGAGGAAGAAGGUUUUCGGAUUGUAAACUCCUGUCUUAAAGGACGAUAAUGACGGUACUUUAGGAGGAAGCUCCGGCUAACUACGUGCCAGCAGCCGCGGUAAUACGUAGGGAGCGAGCGUUGUCCGGAAUUACUGGGUGUAAAGGGAGCGUAGGCGGGAUGGCAAGUCAGAUGUGAAAAACUAUGGGCUCAACCCAUAGACUGCAUUUUGAAACUGUUGUUUCUUGAGUGAAGUAGAGGUAAGCGGAAUUCCUGGUGUAGCGGUGAAWUGCGUAGAUAUCAGGAGGAACAUCGGUGGYSAAGGCGCUUACUGCGCUUUUAYCUGACCUGAGGCUCGKAAGCGUGGGGAGCAAACAAGGAUUAGAUACCCUGKAGUCMWCGCUGKAAACG